UCUACUUCACUUCCGUUAUCGAAGGCUCACCGGUAUAUGCUUUUUGUAGAGUCAUUAGAAAUAUUGUUCGUUUUAGGACAAUAGUUAGGUUUCGUAUUGAAAUGGAAGUCUCGUGUGCAAGUCACAUAAGAUAGAAAAGUUCCAACUCACUCUGCCCACUUCGAUUCAGCACGAUCAUUCUGCUGUGCCUGAGGGAAUUUCUGGUGGGUGUGUGUCGACCUGCUAUUUGCGAAGCAGCUAGAUUAACGGGAACUGUGGUUGACAAACAAUUGGCCAUAGAAGGAGCUCGCCCAAGUUCUUUAUCGGUUUUAUCCGUUCGAUAUGUUUUACCAAUAUUACCCAUCGAAAGAGCACCUGUGUCAAAUUUAUUACUCUUGAUAGUUAUUUAAAAAUUCGUUUAAUCUUAACUUGAUAAUCAUUUCAUUGUCUAGAAGAUGUAGUACCAAUUUCGAAAUUAUGUUCGUAACGAAUCAAUUUCAUUAACAGAAAACUCAAAAUUAA